rnacentral:rRNA from 1 species
CCUACGGGUGGCAGCAGUGGGGAAUAUUGCACAAUGGGCGAAACCCUGAUGCAGCGACGCCGCGUGAGUGAAGAAGUAUUUCGGUAUGUAAAGCUCUGUCAGCAGGGAAGAAAAUGACGGUACCUGACCAUGAAGCCCCGGCCAACUACGUGCCAGCAGCCGCGGUAAUACGUAGGGGGCAAGCGUUAUCCGGAUUUACUGGGUGUAAAGGGAGCGUAGACGGCAGGGCAAGUCUGGAGUGAAAGGCGGGGGCUCAACCGACGGACGGCACUGGAAACUGCCAGGCUGGAGUGCAGGAGAGGUAAGUGGAAUUCCUUGUGUAGCGGUGAAAUGCGUAGAGAUAAGGAGGAACACCAGUGGCGAAGGCGGCUUUCUGGACUGUAACUGACGUUGAGGCGCGAAAGCGUGGGGAGCAAACAGGAUUAGAUACCCCUGUAGUC